AAAAACUUUCAACAACGGAUCUCUUGGUUCUGGCAUCGAUGAAGAACGCAGCGAAAUGCGAUAAGUAAUGUGAAUUGCAGAAUUCAGUGAAUCAUCGAAUCUUUGAACGCACAUUGCGCCCUCUGGUAUUCCGGGGGGCAUGCCUGUUCGAGCGUCAUU
rnacentral:rRNA from 5 species